GAUGAACGCUAGCGGCAGGCCUAAUACAUGCAAGUCGAACGGUGUCUUCGGACAUAGUGGCGCACGGGUGCGUAACACGUAUGCAACCUACCUUACAUUGGGGGAUAGCCUUUCGAAAGGGAGAUUAAUACCGCAUAAGACAGUAGCUGGGCAUCCAGCAGCUGUUAAAGAUUUAUCGAUGUAAGCUGGGCAUGCGUCCAAUUAGCUAGUUGGUGAGGCAACGGCUCACCAAGGCAAUGAUUGGUAGGGGAACUGAGAGGUCAAUCCCCCACACUGGCACUGAGAUACGGGCCCGACUCCUACGGGAGGCAGCAGUAGGGAAUAUUGGGCAAUGAACGCAAGUCUGACCCAGCCAUGCCGCGUGCAGGAUGAAGGCGUCAUGCGUUGUAAACUGCUUUUAUACAGGAAGAAACGACUCUUGCGAGAGGCAUUGACGGUACUGUAUGAAUAAGCACCGGCUAACUCCGUGCCAGCAGCCGCAGUAACAC
rnacentral:rRNA from 1 species